GGAUCGGUAGCUCAAUUGCCAGAGCGCCUGACUGCGCAGUCAGCUGAGGUUGGAGGUUCAAGUCCUCCCCGAUCCA
rnacentral:tRNA from 1 species